rnacentral:rRNA from 1 species
UACGUAGGGGGCAAGCGUUGUCCGGAUUUAUUGGGCGUAAAGAGCGUGUAGGCGGCCUGAAAGGUCAGCUGUGAAAACUCGAGGCUCAACCUCGAGACGUCGGUUGAAACCAUCUGGCUAGAGUCCGGAAGAGGAGAGUGGAAUUCCCGGUGUAGCGGUGAAAUGCGCAGAUAUCGGGAAGAACACCAACGGCGAAAGCACUCUGCUGGGCCGACACUGACACUGAGAGACGAAAGCUAGGGGAGCGAAUGGG